rnacentral:SRP_RNA from 1 species
GCUGGGUGUGGUGGCUCACGCCUGUAAUCCCAGCACUUUGGGAGGCCGAGGCGGGUGGAUCACCUGAGGUCAGGAGUUCGAGACCAGCCUGACCAACAUGGUGAAACCCCAUCUCUA